rnacentral:lncRNA from 1 species
AUAAGUUGAAGGGGUGGGGCUAAGGUACGCAAGAUGUUUGAAUAGGCUUUAUUUUUCUUUGAAAUACAGUCACUGGUGGGAUUAAGGAAGAAGUAUGUCACCGCUAGGAUUAUGGAGCAGUGAGUGCUUGGAGGAGAUGAAUACACAAGAAUAGCCUCACAGUUUCCAAAACCACAAGUCGUGUUUAUGGUUCAAGGAACAGCAGUACAAGCAGUUCACAGGCAGCAUUCCUCUGAGCAGUACUUCAGGAGAAACAGAAAGAAGUCCUCUUAUGAAAGAAGAGGAAGCUGUUCCACUAAUCUGUUUCUCAUAGACUGUUCUGUUAAAAAGGGCAGUUGCCCUUUGGUCCCAUGAGAAGAGCACUACUGCACAGAGAGGAUGUUGGCAGAGAUGCUAACAACUGUCUGUAGAAUAGAGCUGGCUCAUGGAUCAAAUGAAAACAUUGUAAGAAGAACAGGUCCUACAAGAAAAGCUUACUGAGUUGUACAUUCAUAUCAGAUGAAGAAUAGAGCGCUCUUGAAAGCGUCUAUGGAAAAGUACAAUGUCAUAAGUAAGUGGGCCUGCAAAAAUGCUGGUGGGGAUUUGAAAUGUGGCAAUAAAUCUUCAGAUGUAACGCA